rnacentral:rRNA from 1 species
UAGGGAAUCUUCCGCAAUGGGCGAAAGCCUGCCGGAGCAACGCCGCGUGAGUGAUGACGUUCUUCGGAUCGUAAAACUCUGUUAUUAGGGAAGAACAAAUGUGUAAGUAACUAUGCACGUCUUGACGGUACCUAAUCAGAAAGCCACGUCUAACUACGUGCCAGCAACCGCGGUAAUACGUAGGUGGCAAGCGUUAUCCGGAAUUAUUGGGCGUAAAGCGCGCGUAGGCGGUUUUUUAAGUCUGAUGUGAAAGCCCACGGCUCAACCGUGGAGGGUCAUUGGAAACUGGAAAACUUGAGUGCAGAAGAGGAAAGUGGAAUUCCAUGUGUAGCGGUGAAAUGCGCAGGAGUAUGGAGGAACACCAGUGGCGAAGGAGACUGUCUGGUCUGUAACUGACGCUGAUGUGCGACAGCGGGGGGAUCAAACAGG